AUGGACCCGUACAAGUACCUCAACAUCCGCUUCAACCCGGACGGCUCGCUCACCCGCAACGGCCAGGCGAAGCUCCUCCCGGCGGCGCCCUCGGGGGAGCCCGUCGCGGUCACCACCGCGGACGGCGGCCCCGCGCGCCGCAUUGUCCACUCCAACGACGUCCCGCUCGAUGACGCCAAGGGCACGAGCGUGCGCCUCUUCGUGCCGGGCCUGGCCACGGCGCCCCGCGGCGGCAGGCUGCCGCUGAUCGUCUACUUCCACGGGGGCGGCUACGUGCUCUUCCGCGCGGCCUCCGAGCCGUUCCACAACAACGCCGCGGUCCUGGCCGCCUCCGUGCCCGCCGCCGUCGCCUCCGUCGACUACCGCCUCGCGCCCGAGCACCGCCUCCCCGCCGCCUUCGACGACGCCGCCGACGCCGUCCGCUGGGUGCGGUCGUACGCCGCCGGCUCGCCGGGCAGGCCCAUCUUCAUAAUGGGCUGCCACAACGGGGCCAGCAUCGCGUUCCGCGCGGCGCUGGCGGCGGUGGACGAGGGCGUGCAGCUGCGGGGGCUGAUACUCAACCAGGCGCACCACGGCGGCGUGGAGAGGACGGCGGCGGAGGCGGCGUCGGUGGACGACCGCGUCCUACCGCUGCCGGCGAACGACCUGCUCUGGGAGCUCGCGCUGCCGCUGGGCGCCGACCGGGACCACGAGUACUGCAACCCGGAGGCCAUGCUGGCCGGCGUCGGGGCGGAGCGGCUGCGGAGGCUGCCGCCGUGCCUGGUGCUCGGCCGCAAGAAGGACCCGCCGAGGGACCGGCAGAGGGUGCUGGUGCAUGCGCUGCGGAAGGCCGGGGUGGCCGUCGAGGCGCAGAUGGACGGCGCAGGGUACCACGCGAUGGAGCUGUUCAAGACUAACUGCGCCGAGGAGUUCAACGCGCAGGUGACGGACUUCGUCCGCCGGCACGCCGGCGACGGCGACGGCGACGGCGUCGACGUGUACGCUGCGAGGAGCAGGCUGUGA
rnacentral:rRNA from 1 species